ensembl:lncRNA
GUGACAAAUCUCGCUUUUCCUAAAUAAAUCACCAUAAUUCCCAUAUGGCUCAGGACUGACAACUUGGGUUUCCUUAGUAACCAACUACUUAGCUAAACCUGUGGCUGGUGUGAGCGAGAGCUAGCGGCAUCUGGAGAGAAGAACUAGUUGCCAAGUUUUUCCCAGAGGCCUCUCAUUCCUUCCAGGUGAGCGCGGUCGCCAUCAGCAUUCCGCUUGAGCGUUCUCCAUUUGCACUGUUCUCUGGGGAUCCCUGAGGUCUGUGACACAUAGUAAUUUGUCAUUUUGCAGCAUCAUUAAUUUGGUUUUUGAGAGCCAUUUGCUUUGCUAGUGAGUGGGUUUGAGAACCCCAGCGCUCCUAUCUCAGUGUGGGUUUUGAGGUUUAGAAGGUAAUGCUCAUGAAUUGAAUUCUAAAAACAUACAAAAGAUGGCUUCUCUGUGAAUCCUACUUCUAAAAAGGAAAGGCAAGAACUAAUGCUGGUGAUGGAUGGGAAGGAAAAGUAAUGAAGACAAGCAAAGCAACGGCUCUUGGAAAGGAAAAGUUUUGUGGCAAAAAUAAUAUAUUCUGCAUUGACGUUUGCAAAUAUCGGGAUUUACAAGGGUUGGCGAAUACAUCCUGUGUGAGGGUUAAGUAUCUACGCUGCUUUUUAAAAGUCAGCUCCUUUCUUCCUCCCUUCCUUCUUCCUUCCUUCUCCCUUCUUCCUCCCUUCUCCCUCCUUUCUUCCUUCUCCCUCCCUUCUUUGCACACAUUCAUUGAGCACCUCCCUGAUCUAAGCCACGGGCUCUGCACUCAGGGGCCACACAGCCCCAGUCUCAAGGCCUGACAGCCUGGCUAGGAGACAGGCAUGUGGACAGAGGAAUUGUGCCUCCAGGCUGCGAACUCAGAGGAUUUUGCAUAGGUGUGAGGGAACAGGAACCAUUGCCCCAACAGAGAAGCCAGCUUCACCCAAGAUUCCCAGCUGGGACAACUGAAAGUUCUGGCCACCAUAUUCUCAACCUGUCAAGUGUCUUGGCUCUUCAGCACCAUUCACUGUCUCUCACUCCCAUGUCACAAAGAUGAAGCUGGCUCCCUCUUAAUGGUCUCCUCUUGGCAAGCGAAUCAUACCAGAGACAGAAAUCAGAAAGACCAGCAGUUAAUACCAACCUCUUUCAAGUAAAGAUCCAAAAACUCAAAAAAGAAGAAAAACUGGGAGAAGGAGAAAAAGAAACAAUAAAGAAUUUUUUAUUCAUCUGCUGAAUAAUCAAAUGACACCAUUGUAAUAUGUGAGUCUAAAAUCACUCCUUGGAUGGACAGUAUCUCAAGAAAGAAGUGCAAUGUCAGUGAUGUCCACAGUCCGUUGACCCCGGGUGAAUGGCCCCCCACCCCAGCUCCUGCCGCAGAGCACAGGGAGCCUUUGAGCGCUUCCCUCCCCUUCAGCACACCCUGCCAGGCACCAUUCCAGUUGAUCUACCGCCUAAACUUUCUCUUCUGUUCCAGCGCCUCCAGCUCUGUGCCCUCUCUCUGUCUCCGGGUCUCCAGCCCAUGCUCCAUGUAGCCUCCACCGCUAUCUUUCUAAAACACAAAUGAGAUCAACUUUUUUCCCUGUUCAGAGUCUAUCUUAUGUCUCCACUUCCUCAGUAGUAGUUUGCAAACUUGAAUGUGCAUAGGAAUCACCUGGAGAACUUGUUAAAGAUACAGUUUUAGGCCUCACCCCAGAGAUUCCAAAUCUGGGUGUCUCGGGAGAGGCCUGGGAACCUACAUUUUUAACAGAUACUCUGCCCUCACUGGGCAUUCUGAUACAGUCUGAAAACUACAUUUAAGAAAAAUUGGGAAGGGAGGAAAGAAGAAAGGAAGGAAGGCAGGCAACCAGGCCUGGCAUGAGGACUCAGUCGCAUUUCUCAGAGCAGUGUAGGAGAUUUCUCACCACCUGGUACCUGCCAGCGCCAUCUUCAAGUUGCCAUCUCCG